rnacentral:rRNA from 1 species
UUAAAGUUGUUGCAGUUAAAAAGCUUGUAGUUGAACCUUGGGCCUGGCUGGCCGGUCCGCCUCACCGCGUGCACUGGUCCGGCCGGGCCUUUCCUUCUGGGGAGCCGCAUGCCCUUCACUGGGUGUGUCGGGGAACCAGGACUUUUACUUUGAAAAAAUUAGAGUGUUCAAAGCAGGCCUAUGCUCGAAUACAUUAGCAUGGAAUAAUA